rnacentral:rRNA from 1 species
UACGUAGGGACCGAGCGUUGUCCGGAAUCAUUGGGCGUAAAGAGCGUGUAGGCGGCCACUUAAGUCCUGCGUGAAAUCUUGCGGCUCAACCGCAAGCGGUCGUGGGAAACUGGGUGGCUAGAGUGCGGGAGAGGAGAGUGGAAUUCCUGGUGUAGCGGUGGAAUGCGCAGAUAUCAAGAGGAACACCGGUGGCGAAGGCGGCUCUCUGGAACAAUCCUGACGCUGAGGUGCGAAAGCUAGGGGAGCAAACGGG